UGACGGUACCUGGAGAAAAAGCAACGGCUAACUACCUGCCAGCCGCCGCGGUAAUACUUAGGUUGCAAGCGUUGUCCGGAUUUACUGGGUGUAAAGGGCGUGUAGGCGGAGCCGCAAGUCAGAUGUGAAAUCCCGGGGCUCAACCCCGGAGCUGCAUUUGAAACUGUACCCCUUGAGUAUCGAAGAGGCAAGCGGAAUUCCUAGUGUAGCGGUGAAAUGCGUAGAUAUUAGGAGGAACACCGGUGGCGAAGGCGGCUUACUGGACGAUAACUGACGUUGAGGCUCGAAAGCGUGGGGAGCAAACAGGAUUAAAUACCCUG
rnacentral:rRNA from 1 species